rnacentral:rRNA from 1 species
AGUGAACGCUGGCGGUAGGCCUAACACAUGCAAGUCGAACGGCAGCACAGUAAGAGCUUGCUCUUACGGGUGGCGAGUGGCGGACGGGUGAGGAAUACAUCGGAAUCUACUUUUUCGUGGGGGAUAACGUAGGGAAACUUACGCUAAUACCGCAUACGACCUACGGGUGAAAGCAGGGGAUCUUCGGACCUUGCGCGAUUGAAUGAGCCGAUGUCGGAUUAGCUAGUUGGCGGGGUAAAGGCCCACCAAGGCGACGAUCCGUAGCUGGUCUGAGAGGAUGAUCAGCCACACUGGAACUGAGACACGGUCCAGACUCCUACGGGAGGCAGGAGUGGGGAAGAUUGGACAAUGGGCGCAAGCCUGAUCCAGCCAUACCGCGUGGGUGAAGAAGGCCUUCGGGUUGUAAAGCCCUUUUGUUGGGAAAGAAAGGCAGCAGGUUAAUACCCCGCUGUUCUGACGGUACCCAAAGAAUAAGCACCGGCUAACUUCGUG